rnacentral:tRNA from 1 species
GGCGAGAUGGUGAAAUAGGUAAACACGAAGGAUUUAAAAUCCUUUGGUCAGUAAUGACCUUGCGGGUUCGAUUCCCGCUCUCGCUAC